rnacentral:rRNA from 1 species
CCUACGGGAUGCACCAGUGGUGAAUAUUGGACAAUGGGCGAAAGCCUGAUCCAGCAAUGCCGCGUGUGUGAAGAAGGUCUUCGGAUUGUAAAGCACUUUCGACGGGGACGAUGAUGACGGUAGCCGUAGAAGAAGCCCCGGCUAACUUCGUGCCAGCAGCCGCGGUAAUACUAAGGGGGCUAGCGUUGCUCGGAAUGACUGGGCGUAAAGGGCGCGUAGGCGGUUUAUGCAGUCAGAUGUGAAAUCCCCGGGUUUAACCUGGGAACUGCAUUUGAGACGCAUAGACUAGAGGUCGAGAGAGGGUUGUGGAAUUCCCAGUGUAGAGGUGAAAUUCAUAGAUAUUGGGAAGAACACCGGUGGCAAAGGCGGCAACCUGGCUCGAUACUGACGCUGAGGCGCGAAAGCGUGGGGGGCAAACAGGAUUAGAUACCCUCGUAGUC